rnacentral:sRNA from 1 species
CGGUUGUGUUCGCAAGAGGCGAACUCAGUUUCCCAGGUGGCGCUGCGGCAGCCAGUCCAAAGUCGGACUUUCAAAACCAACCCGAAGUUUUGAACCCGGCGGCGGCAGUUGUCACUGGCACAGGUUUGGCGUGGCGGCGCCAGUGUACUACUUCUGGGGAGGUCUCGACCAGGUUCUGGCACCUUCAAUCCCCACCUGAUAUCUGCGUAUCAUCACGGUAUCCCGCUUUUCCCCCAGUUCCCCAAGAGCGUCCUUCCUUUCCCUAGUCACAGGAUCGCAGUUUUGGUCUGAUAGCGCAUCCACCUACCCCAGUGUUGCAUCCCCACUUCCCUCUUUCCAUCUAACGUGGUGGCCUUUCCUGGGGAUACCUUGGGUAUCCCCCGCUGGGAGAGCAAGCACAAGACACCAGGGAGCCAGACCCCUGCCGCUCCCCUGCCACAGGAUAUGAAUACGAGCCUCAGCUGGUUGGAGCAGCUGGAUGUGCUUCUCAACGCUACUGAUGGAAAUGUGGUCCGGAAUAAGUGGCUGUAUCCUCUUGGGGUCUCCACAGAGCUCAUUGGCCUGUGCAUCUGUUUCUUCUGUAGCAGUGGCUGUAUCCUCUUGGGGUCUCCACCGCAGAAUAGCACUGCUGUCACUCCUACAGUGCUGUGGGAGGACUCAGAGAUUAUGCAGAAGGAAUUGAAGUUGCUGCAGUACCAGUUGAGCCAGCACCAGGAGCUGCUGCUGAAACAGCUGGCUGAGGGACGACAGGCUCAGGUUGGCAGUUGGAAGGAUCUCCAUUCAUGUUUUCCAAUCUAAGCUGCCUCUGCCCACUACCUUCACCAUGUCUGUUUCUUCAUCCAGCUCUUAAUUCAGUCUUCUGGACAGUAACACUAGCUGAGAACU